rnacentral:lncRNA from 1 species
CCUGUAGUAGGUUGAGAGGCUUCUCCUCUCAUGAUUUACUCUGAUUAGUUUGCUUGGCUCCAUGCUCCUCAUGAUUUCUUUGAAUUUUUCUGUAGGAGCUCGGUCAAAAAUCACCUAAGAAAAAUAUGUCGUUCUUCUCUACAAGGGUUCCAUGUGGAAUCUGAGGAGAAUAUGUGCACCAGCGUCCGACUCCUUGAUGUUGCUCUGAUCAUAUUGUGUAAAUAUAUUUCUAAUAAAGCAAUCGCCCGAUGGUGUACAUGUUAGAAAUAAUAAGAUGUAAUCAUCAAGUGUGAGAGAUGGCAACAUCAUGAUGGGAUGGUAUGUACUGUUGUGCUCAUCAAUAAAGUUAGAUCACUUUUCUGUCUGAGAGUCGAUUUUUUUGUGCGUUAGAUGGAUUGACAAGUACCAAAGUUUGAUGCAAGCAGAACUAAAACCUGUCCAUUGAUUACCUUCAGUCCCACAUUUCAAUCAACAACAUUGGGCCGAGCGAGCGCGUGGGUGGCGCAAGAGGCAAUGGGCAGCCGG